ensembl:lncRNA
UGGAACAGCAGGUGUCUAUGAUCUGCAGAGAAAAGAUGUGUUGCUAAGAAAGCCUGCCAUGCGCUCAAGCGUUCAGGUGUAUGCCAUGUAGGCUCGUUCUUCCAGGGUUGGGUCUGCUGUCACGCAGCCAAUGCAAGCAGCAGCUUUAUGGAGGGGGUUUCAGAAGAGCCGGGCUUGGUGGAGAUGGGCACUGUAAAAGUGAAUCCCCAAGAGCGAGCACUUCCUGAUGCACAUACAUUUCGAAUGACAGUCGUGUUGUGGAGAUGAGGAGGAUUGAGGCUUGGAGAAAAAUUGAUUUGUUGAAGUCCAUCCAAGUGAGCACGUGGCCUGACAGGAGCUGAUGAAGGAGCCUGACCUGAGUGCAGAGCGAAGAUACCAGUGGUGCCCAUUAGACAACGUCAGGAAACUUAGUGUGGAGGACCUGCUGGACACUGGCGCUGCUAGCAGAGAAAGGGAGCGAGGCAGGAUGGGCCAAUAGAAGCAGCAACAAGACUACAGGUCACAUCUACUGACUGUACGCCUGGUACCUGGUUUUUGGCCUUUGGAAUUGGACUGGAAUGACACCACCGGCUUUCCUGGUUCUUGACCUUGCCGGCUACAGAUCUUGGGACUUCUAAGCCUUCAUAACUAUGUCUGGAUCCCUCCAAUACGGCAUAAAGUCUACAAAAGCAAGUGCCUUGUCUGCUUAUUCACACUGAUUCCCUGGCACUGGAACAUUCUAUAGAGAUCCUGAAAAAGAGGAAACAGAGAAACAAACAAGCCAAAACGAUUGACAGAAGAAGCCUAGGGUGUGAUUAUUUACCUAUGCACGAUGGCAACAGAACUACUGAUUCAACCAGCAUAGUUCCUGGCCAGUGAGGACAUUGUCUGUAAAGUGCAGUUACAUGGGAACCUGCUCUGGAUUAAGGCCAUCUUUGUGUCUUGUGAAAAUGCUGCUGCUUUGGCUAGAGUCUCGACUCUUGGAGGAAGCUAAGCCUUUGGGAGCUCAACUGGUGAAAGCUACUUCCCUCCUUCUGAUUUGGGGCUGUAUUUUUCUUCUUACACAUGCAAAUAGGUGCUGAGAUUCAAUGUUAAUGUGCUCAUGGGGCAUUUGGGCAUUGUGUGUUAAAGCAUUUCUACAUGCGUCAACUUCUGGAGAUGAGAAUGGCAUCAAAUUUUAAACAAGCUACAAAGCUGGACCACAGUUGAAAGUGAAAAUCCUCUCCUAAGUACCAGUGACGAACAACUGAAUUCUUCUCUCUCCAUCUUGGAAUUGAUGUGCGCUUAGUGUGUUUUCAAAAGAAAAUAAAAGACUACUUUGGGAUCUGUUAAGAGUUUGAGGUCAGCAAACUGUUUCCUGUAAUUCAUAUGAUGCGAAGUUAUCUUAAAGUAGACUUGAUGAAAGCAACCCUGAGAGCCUGCCCAUACACAGGGCCCUGACGCUUGUCAUGCAAAGAUUUGUCACGGCUGCUGUUCCAUCUGAGAAAGAUGGACGUAUAGGAUUACGGACCAUGCAUCUAUCAAGAUCAAAAGUACUGUUUGGGAUUUAAGUUGCUACACUGAAGGAUUCACUGAUGCCAAGUAGAAUACCACCUAAAGUUCAUGAGGUGGUCCUUCAGCAGUACUAAAUGAAACAUUUAGGAAGGCCUCCCAAAUGACACUGCUCUACUCAGCAAAACGGCAUCUUGAUAUACUUAUUGUAGAAAUUCACAAGGCACUUCUAAUACAAAGACAGUCCACUAGAUGCAGUUUACAAAGUCAGAGAACAUGGGAAACGGUGCUGCAGAUCAGCUUACAUGGAGCACACUUGGAAGAAACUGACGCUGUUGGUGGUGGAGUAGAAAAACAAAAAGAAUGGAGGUCCUUGAUGGCACUGCCAACCAACCCUGAAGUCUGUCUAACCUCUGAACUACCAGGGCUUCAAGGACCUGGGCACAUGAACAAAACCAUUGGAGGAUGGAGCCUGCCUACUCAGCCAAGUUCUAGCCUUGUGAAGGCAGCCAUGAGUCACCAGCUAAGAAUCCUCAAAUUACCUGUACUGAUGGGCCAGGAAUGUGCACAGUACCCCCCAGGGCUCCUGGGUGCAAACCUUUGCAGCUAGCCAGUGAGAAAGAGAAAAGCAGCCUCUGGCAUCUGGCAGCCAGCCUGGUGCUACCAUCAGGCCUUGGUGUUCUCCUGCUGAACGUGAACAGUCACAGAACAUCAACAUCAAGCAAAGCCACUCUGCGGUCGUGAUGGAUGAAGACAAAAACUAAACCACUCUAGAUCCAUGUCUGACUCCCAGCAGAACACGAAUAUUGUCCAAACCACAAAAUAUCGACCAUCCCCUCUUCUGACUAAUGUUCACAAGAGGGUCUCACUGGGACAGUUAUAGACUCCUGGUAGCACCAGUAGAAAACUCAACUACUAGGAUUCCUAACAAGCGAGUGCAUGUGGACCUAUUGGAGAAGGCACCCUACCUGCGAGCCCUCCGUCUCCUGCAGGAUGACACAGCUUGAGAUGCUGUCGUGGGCUCCAGUUUUAGCAAAAGUGCUUUGGAGGGAGGGAAGAGGAGAGG